GCUUUUGUGCAGUGGCAGUAUCAUAGCCAAUGAGGUUAAUCUGAGGCAUGGCUAUUGCUAAUUGUAAACUUUUCCCAAUACCCCACCAUGACGACUUGAAAUAUAGUUGGCAUUGGCAAUUUUUGUUUGAGAGCCAGUUUG